CCCAACCCUCUGGGAUUUCUCACUAUGCAUUCUAGCCUUCUCAUGGAAUGUAUGGUCUGAAUCAAAUUUUGGGAUUUCAUUGUAUUUUCUUGUCUUAUUCUCAAAUUAUUUCUCAUUUUAUUAUUAUAUAAUUUUUAAAGCUGCUGGUUAAUUUUUUAAAAAAUUAUUACAGUGUGGGAGGAGAGGCCCUGUUUUGUCCUCUCCCUCAGCCUCAGCAUGUACCUGUAUUUGGGCACCGGAUUGGCCAGGCUUCCAUCUGAGCUUCUAGCUGAAUACAAGCACUUCUAACAGGCAGUUAGAUGACAUAUUUUCCUGUUGCAAAAGGAAAUUGGUUUGGACACACUCUGUAAUUGUGCAUUUUCAAGUUAGAACUCCAUGCUGUUUGUUAAAAGCCCCCUUUGGGUUAAUUACCAAGCGCCUAAAUGAUAUUUGAUUAUUUUGGAAGCAAAAUAGGCAUUAGGAGAGUGCUUCCGUGCCUGGAGACCAGUUGAGUGACGUUCCGUUCUCUCAUUUUGCUUUUGCUCUCGACACAUCCUGAACCACAUCUGCCUUCAAACAAAUCAUCACUGCGAUACAGCAGAGAGCAGCACGGAACCCCCUUCCCAAGGCCAAACUUUAGGUCUUUGAUGUACGUCAAGACAGCCGACACUCACAUAACUCGCUUCUGCCCAUUUGUCCCGUCUCUGAUACCUUCCCCCACGCGCUCGCACACUGGAGAUAGUGACAGAAUGGAACAGAGAGUGGCUCCUGCCGCCUGCGUUGGCGAUAUCACCGGACACUUUCCAUUUCGCCCCCUCCCUCUAUGCUUGUGCACAGCUGUUGCCCAUUUCCCCCCGAGCUGCCGUGUCUCCGUUUUGACCUGUGCUCUGCAGCCGGGAGAAAUCUGCAGGGGCAACUUGGUGAGUGCUGCGAACCUCUUGAGAAUGAAAGAUGCCAUAGCAGCGAAAUCCUGGAAUUCAGUUUAUGAAAUGGCCUGAAGACUCUCCAUGACGCUGGGCCCGGGACGUCUGCCCUCUAAGCCUCGGAGGCAGAUGGAGAUGUGGGGACACCCAGGAGGAAACGUCCGCUUGUUUUCCGAGUUAGUGUAGCUCACUGAUGACGUCGUAAGAUCGCUAUCACCUAGGCGAUGGAACAUGUUGCUAUGGGAACCUCAGAUCUGUCUGAUAACUGUGCUUCAAAAUGUUGACAGUUGGAAAAGCCUCCUUUUUCUGUACAGCAAGCCAGUAGGGGCGUGUACACAGAGGGUGGGUUUGUUUAAAAAGUUAGCACUUAAAGUUUACUAAUACAAACUAUUUGGAGACACAUUUGUGAAACUGAAAACAUUUAGAAUAUUGACAUUUCUUGGAGAAGUAUUACCAUCUAGCUGCACUGAAGGAAGCCCUCGUGUGCGAGACUCUCAUGGGCCUAGUGAAGUCAGAGUUAUAAGAAAGAUAUAAAAUCUCCUCGCAAGGUGAAGAGCACAGACAUCUCACAUGUCACAUCUCGUUGGAGUCUUGUGUUGAACUUUGGCCACGGACGAGUGUUUUACACACAGACUCUUAAUGUGAUUCUCUGCCCUCACAUUUUCCAUCUCCUGAGAAUGUUGGUUUCACACUAUAAGUGAUAUUGAAUCAGGACAGCGUUGUCUCAUGAAACCAUGACCUCAGCCCUAUGUCAUAUCCCCCCCCCGCAUGCUGACAUAGUCGCACAUAUAUGUGUGUGAAUGUCAAUACAUACAUUUGUAAACACACAUAAAGUCACACAAACACCAAACUGGCAAACGCUGGGCCAUGGCUCCUAGCAGAAAUACAGGGUUAGUUUCCCGCAAACCUCUCUUCACAGUUUUGUCCGCUGAUAAAUGUAAAACCUUAUUUUAUGUGUGUUUCUGAUUAAAAACACCUUACUUUUU